CUUCUCUCCUACAUCAUCCCCCGCCCGUUAUGAAACACUUACCACGUGCCAGACACUGAGCCAAGCUCGUCACACCUUUACACCACCCAAUCCUCACACAACAUUCUGCGGUAGGUUUUACCAUCCCCAUUUUACAGAUAGGAAAGCUGAGGUUCAAGGAGGUUAAAUUGCUCUAAAUGACCCAGCAAGGUGAGGCAAGAAUUACAUUCCAACUAAUCUCAAUAAUAAAAUGUACGCUCUUAACUGCUACACUGCUCUGCAGAGCUUCAGGGGAGCCUUUCCCCUUAAAAGCCACCUGCUAUCAACUCUCCGGGAAGGAGAUGGUAUUUCUGAACAUCUCUCUGCCCCUGGAAGUGCCAAGGUGAGGCCCUGGACCACAGAGCCUCAGGAACCAGACAAAACUACGUUAAAACCCCAGCUGCUCCUCUUGGCUGUGAGACCCAACAGGCACUUUCAUGGGGCUCCGUUCCACCAUCUGAAAAGGAAAAUGAGCUCAGAGAUGUAAAAGGACCUGUCCAAGAAGCACAGUGAAGGUCAGCGUCUGGGACCCUGUGGCUCUUCCUUCUGCCCUGUUAACUUCCCACCGGGGACAAUGAGGUCAGUACAGAAUCAGGAUGUUUCUAUCCAUUUCUAUGAGCAGGGAGUACAAUGUCUGUUAGCAGAAGGGACAGUAGAGUUAAUGGUGUGUCUAUCAUCCAGCAGUCAGAGAGGGCUUGUGUGUGGACUCCGGUCACACUGAGAGAGCACUCACUCCGUGCAAAGCCCUGUGCUUGGUGCUGGGAUGCAAAGGUGAAUUGGAUGCAACCCUGCCCCACCCGGGAGAGCGAGAAUCUCUCGCUCACGUUCACUGCCAUGUCCUUCACCUAGUGCCUGGCACCAGUAGUCCUCAACAAAUACAUGCAGGACAAGUUUUAGCAUCACAGACUGGAGUCUAGACUCUCACAACUAAGCAGCUAGUGAAAAUAGUGUCCAGUCAACAAAUAUUUAUUGAACACCUGCUAUGCACUUAUGGAAGGACAGACAAUGGCCAUGACCCACAGAAGCCCAGGGAUCUGUGGGAACACAAGAGAGGCCCCUAAUUCCUCCCGGUUGGAAGAGACGGCUUCCAGGAGGGAGCAGCCCCUGAGCUGAGUCUCCAGGGGAAGGGUGAGGGAGUGAAAACACGGAGGUGGAACAGCUUGUGCAAAGGCACAGUGGUGACACACGGAGAGCAAGUUUGGGGCGCUGCCGGAAACACCUACAGCUGGAGGGUAAGGAGCCAGGCUGGGAGAGAAUGAAGCUGGCAGAGCUGGCAGAGCCAGACCACAAAGUAGUUUCAAGUAGUAGAACAGGGGAGCCAAUGAGGGACUGAGGCUGAGGAUGAUGAUGGGAUUGGCAUAGGAGACAGAUCGGCUUGUAGGGGAGGAUCAAAGAAGGACUUCGACUUUGAUUCUAUGAUCUGCCACGGGGAGACUUCAAGCAGAGGUGAGACAUGACGUGACUUACAUCCUAAGAGAAUACUGCCGUGCUGACACUAAUGAAGACCAAGGCGGAAGAAGCGGGGACACCCAUCAGGAGGCCACUGCAAUGACCCAGAUCUGAACACGAAUCCUCGCAAGAAUGGUCUCCAAAAGAGAUACGGACACCACCCCACCAACAAGUGGAUGCUGAAAGCGUGCAAUCUCAGGAGACCCUGAGAUUUCUAGAAGGCGGCCCCCAUGCUGUACGGCUGCCUGAGCGGCUCCUCCGGGAGGAAGAGUGCGGUGAGCAGGAGCUAUGAAGAUGGAUUCGGAAACUCCCCUGGAGGAGAAGACAUCUGAGCCACCCCUGGCCACCACCAAGAGUCACUGCAGCCCCUGCGUGAGGAGCUGCGUCCAAUUAAAGUCUCUCGUUGCAUCGCAGGACUGUGUCCCUCCUCCUUUCCCUUCCCCCAGCCCUGCUUCCAAGAUUCCUUUGAAUGUGGAGCAAUUAGAACCAGGUAUCUCUUGCAAAAGAAAUGUGGUCUAGUCAUUCUCAAAUGUUCUCCGUCACUCCUAACCAACCCGGCAAGGAAGUGCUUAGCAGAGGCCAGGGAGAGCUAACAGGUGGCUCUAAAUGGACACUGUAAUACAUUUUGAGAGCUUGAGGGCACCACUGUCAUCUGCUAUGUGACUCCACUUGGUGCUCAGGGCCGUAGUGAACAGUGGGGCAGGUUGUGCACAACUCCGUGACCGACCAGCAGCCCCAGAAUGAUACAUCGCUGGUGCAGAGCGACCAAGAUGUUUGUGGAAACGCAGAGCACACAAACACUAGUCACAUGUCGGCAACCCCACGUGACUCCAACUUAAGCCAGUGAACUGGCACAGAAGCAUAUCACCUCAACCUAACAGGACAAUCGGCGGGAGCAAAAGAAUGGGCAGCAUGUGACAACCAAACUUGGGAUUUGGGGGAAGGUUUCCUGGAAGAGAUGGCUGCUUGAGUUUUCUGAGCAUUGAAAGGGAAUUCACCAAGCAAACAGGAGGGGGGAUGGUAUUCCAGAAGGAGGGAACAAAAUCAACGAAGUUGGAGAACAGAGGCAGAACAUAGUAGGGUGUGAGGGUAGCCACCUUCCAUGUUUGGAAUGACCCGAGUAAAAGCCUGAGCCAGGGUGGGGUGGGAGGGGAGCAGGGCAGGGGAUCCUUAAAAGCUCCCUGGGAAGGAGGUCGGACCCUCUCCUGAACAUGAUGGGGGCACCACAGAUGAACAAAAUGACAUAGCCCUAGUUCUGAUUUUUGUAAUAUGGACACAGUGAGUUAAGAAGAGAGCUUCUCUGACUAGCUCUUCCUGGGCCGGUCCCCACCUCAGAAAGGACAGAAAGAAAAUAAUGUCUUAUGCCCUAGCACUGCGGAUGAAAAUGCACGCCUACAAUGGAAAGCCCAUCCUGGCUGCAAUUUAAAGGAUAGAGAUCUGAAGGAGUGUGUAAAGUCUGCUUUAGUGACUGCCAUGUCACUGCUUCUUCCAAGUGCUUUAUAAAUAUCCACUCCCCGAGCAUGAUAACCCAACAAGGUUAGUACAAAUAGGGCGCUGGUUUUACAGACUAGGAAACCGAGACACGAAGAGCUUACAGAAGUCUCUGAAGGUUACACUAAAAGCAGUGGCACAGAUGAACCUUGAACCCAGGAAGCCUGAUUCUGGAGUUGACCCUCUGAACCAGUUAUGCUGCCCUUCACAGUGACAGGGGAGUGACAUCCAGGCAUUACUCUUGGCUCCCAAAUGGACUAUUGACAUUACCUGCUCUUUGAAUAGGGAGCUGGGCCCUGGAGAUCUUUUUCCUUCAGCAACUGGUGCAAUGUUAAUCUUUGUCAGUAGGAGGCGCUGGAGACACUGGAGGAAGAAGGGCUUUCCCUCCUGGUUCUGGUGCUCAUCUUAGCCCGCUCCUGCAGCCCACACUGUGCCUCCAGUCAUGUGGUUUUGGUCGUGCAUGUGGCUUCCCGAGCACCCAGUUCCUGCUGUGCAGAAAGUUCUCCAAAAUCAGGCUCCUGCAGUGAAGACAACUUUCCAGCACCCAGAUCCUGCAUGGUGGUAAGUAGUGCUUAGCAGGUCAACACCUUCUCCCAGUGCCCACCGACAAACUGGGAAGUCCCUCCUUCUCUCUGUGAUAGCUUUCCCUGGCUCCUUAAAGUGUAGAUUUCUAGAACAUUCUAUCAACUCAGCAACUCAGAGAUUUCUCUGCACCCAGGAAGCCACAGCUAUGUCCUUCCCAACAAGGUCCAGAUAUCAGCUGGGGACGGGGUGUGGAAGGCUCUCCCUUCAGGGUUUCCACCCAAGGGGGUGGCUGGGGUGGGGGGCUAGCUGUUCCUCCCACAUGCUCUUCUAUAUUCUUUGGCGUCUCUUGACUCCUUACCUACCCAUCCAUUAUUCAACUUCCCUGUUACACUUAAACAUUCUUUCUACCGAACUUCCCAUAUUCAAAUGACCAUGUAGUUUUUGCCUUCUGAUUGGACCCCAACUGCCACAAACACCUCAGGAGAGGAGGCCAGGGCAGUCAGCCAGUGACAUGGCCUGAACUAGGCCAGCAGCCCUGGGAUGGAGAGGAGAGUCCCGAGUUACAGUCAAUUUCUCAGGCAAAGCUGGCCAGUUCCUAACUCAGAACCACACAGAGAAGAAGAUUCUGGGAAAGGAGGUUCUGGACUUCUACCACCCAGAGAACUGAGAUGGGAGGUGGGCUUGAGGCCAGGCUGACAGCACACGGAAGAUCAUUUCAUCCUGUCCUAGGUCAAGCUGUAAGAGCCUAUGGGAUGUCUAGGGGGCCACCACCGGAAGGAGGCUGGAAACACAUAGCCAGAAAGGAUAAAAGAACAAUGGCGGAAGGAAGCAGGAGGGCUUGCGAACUGUGUGCGUAAUCAGUUCACUAGGCUCGAGCUCCUGUUCCACUAGGGGAAGACUCCCCAGGAGCGUCAGUCAGGUGGAAAGUACCAC